rnacentral:rRNA from 1 species
UACGAAGGGGGGCUAGCGUUGCUCGGAAUCACUGGGCGUAAAGGGUGCGUAGGCGGGUCUUUUAAGUCAGGGGUGAAAUCCUGGAGCUCAACUCCAGAACUGCCUUUGAUACUGAGGAUCUUGAGUCCGGGAGAGGUGAGUGGAACUGCGAGUGUAGAGGUGAAAUUCGUAGAUAUUCGCAAGAACACCAGUGGCGAAGGCGGCUCACUGGCCCGGUACUGACGCUGAGGCACGAAAGCGUGGGGAGCAAACGGG